GUUUUCAAAACUCCCGUGGGUCUUCAGGCUCACAAUAACAAGUCCAAACUAAACAAUAAUAAAACACAACAAGCCACAUGUCACCAAAACCAUAUGCUCACAGUAAUUAUUGUUCAAUUGAUAAUUGUCUCGAACUGAAAGGAGGAGUACAACUAGUUUUAGUACCUCUCAUUUCAAAUGGCAAACAUGAAUUUGAUACUCUUGGAAAUUAAAGUUUAGUUUAGUUUUACACCUCUUUUAGCAAUAUUCCAGCAAUAUCACGGCAGGGAACACCAGAAAUGGGUUUCACACAUUGUACCCAUGUGGGGAAUCAAACCCAGGUCUUUGCUUUAACCACUGGGCUACACCACUUGGAAAUUGAAACAAAGACUAGCAUAUUCCAUAUGUUUGAUAAAAUACUUUGUCUUGUUCAUAGAACAUUUUCAGUGUUUGUUCUAGGCCUCCUGUUAGCUACAUUGCAGCGGAACAUAGUAACAAGUUCCUUUCCAGAAUAUCAUCGUUAACAAAGAAACAACUUGUGUGUUUGAUAAAGAGCAUUCCAAUAAGUUGGAAUUUGGGUCAUCUUCAACACCACAGAAAAAGGACCGACUGACCCAGUGUCAUUUUACGCCGCUUUUAGCAAUAUUCCAGCAAUAUCACAGCAGGGGGACACCAGAAAUGGGCUUCACACAUUGUACCCAUGUUGGGAAUCGAACCCGGGUCUACAGCGUUAUGAGCGAAGACUUAAACCACUAGGCAACCCCACUGCCUGAACUGUGAGUGUAGACUACUAUACUUAUUAUAGGGACAUUUUAUCCCUUUACACACAAAACUGAUUCUCAUGCCAAAUGUAUUUAUAUAGAAUGACAUCUGAAUAUCCUUAUCCAGCAGUUUCUGUUUGGGUGUUAUCACUGAAACGGACUUCUCAAAUGAAUAUGGCAGGCCUUCUGGUCACAGAUAUGAUCGAUGAUAACACCACGACACCUGUUAGAAUGUUUCAUGAUGCUUCCGAAACAGUAACAAUCAAAAACGAUAAUACAAGCAGAGAAAUCACUUUAAAGAGAGCAGAGAAACCAGGUUUAAAGGGAACUCUUCAAGCAGAGAAAGCAGGU